rnacentral:misc_RNA from 1 species
GAGAAGAGCGAUGUCUAUAGCUUUGGAGUAGUGCUUGUGGAGCUACUAACGGGUAAGAAAGCACUUUCGUUUGAUCGACCUGAGGAGGAGAGAAGUCUAGCGAUGCAUUUUCUUUCUUCAAUGAAAGAGGGUAAAUUGUUUGAAAUUCUUGAGAAGCAUAUUGUGAAUGAGGUAAAGAAAGAGCAGGUACUGGAAAUGGCUCAGCUGGCGAAACGGUGCUUGAGUUUGAAAGGGGAGGAAAGGCCUCCUAUGAAGGAAGUAGCAAUGGAACUGGAAGGCCUCCACAGGAUGAAGAUGCAUCCAUGGGUGGCAGUGAAUAAAGAGGAAACAAUUUAC